rnacentral:rRNA from 1 species
UACGAAGGGGGCUAGCGUUGCUCGGAAUCACUGGGCUUAAAGGGCGCGUAGGCGGGCUGCCAAGUCUGGGGUGAAACGUCCCACGGCUACAACCGUGGAACUGCCUCGGAUACUGGCGGCCUCGAGGGAGGUGAGGGGCGUGCGGAACUGUGGGAUGGAGCGGUGAAAUGCGUUGAUAUCCACAGGAACUCCGGCUGGCGAAGCGGCAGCGCUGGACCUUUCGACGCU